rnacentral:rRNA from 1 species
CCUACGGGAGGCAGCAGUGGGGAAUAUUGCGCAAUGGGCGAAAGCCUGACGCAGCGACGCCGCGUGAGGGAUGAAGGUCUUCGGAUCGUAAACCUCUGUCAGCAGGGAAGAACGGUCACUGUGCUAAUCAGCCGUGAAUUGACGGUACCUGCAAAGGAAGCACCGGCUAACUCCGUGCCAGCAGCCGCGGUAAUACGGAGGGUGCGAGCGUUAAUCGGAAUUACUGGGCGUAAAGCGCUCGUAGGCGGUAUGUCAAGUCAAGGGUGGAAUCCCCGCGCUCAACGUGGGAACUGCCUUUGAAAAUGGGAAGCUGGGGUGUGGGAGGGGGUAGGGGGAAUGCAGGGGGAGGAGGG